GAUGAACGCUGGCGGCGUGCCUAAUACAUGCAAGUCGAGCGAACAGACGAGGAGCUUGCUCCUCUGACGUUAGCGGCGGACGGGUGAGUAACACGUGGAUAACCUACCUAUAAGACUGGGAUAACUUCGGGAAACCGGAGCUAAUACCGGAUAAUAUAUUGAACCGCAUGGUUCAAUAGUGAAAGACGGUUUUGCUGUCACUUAUGGAUGGAUCCGCGCCGCAUUAGCUAGUUGGUAAGGUAACGGCUUACCAAGGCAACGAUGCGUAGCCGACCUGAGAGGGUGAUCGGCCACACUGGAACUGAGACACGGUCCAGACUCCUACGAGAGGCAGCAGUAGGGAAUCUUCCGCAAUGGGCGAAAGCCUGACGGAGCAACGCCGCGUGAGUGAUGAAGGUCUUCGGAUCGUAAAACUCUGUUAUUAGGGAAGAACAAAUGUGUAAGUAACUAUGCACGUCUUGACGGUACCUAAUCAGAAAGCCACGGCUAACUACGUG
rnacentral:rRNA from 1 species